rnacentral:tRNA from 2 species
GGCCUUAUAUUCAAUUAUGAUUUUAGACUGCAAUUCUAGAGGUGUGGAAUAUUAUUUUACUAAGGCCU